UGGGGAAUCUUGCACAAUGGGGGAAACCCUGAUGCAGCGACGCCGCGUGAUUUAGAAGGCCUUCGGGUUGUAAAAAUCUUUUCUAUGGGAAGAAAAUGACAGUACCAUAGGAAUAAGGACCGGCUAAUUACGUGCCAGCAGCCGCGGUAAUACGUAAGGUCCGAGCGUUGUCCGGAAUCAUUGGGCGUAAAGGGUACGUAGGCGGGUAAGCAAGUUAGAAGUGAAAUCCUAUAGCUCAACUAUAGUAAGCUUUUAAAACUGCUCAUCUUGAGGUAUGGAAGGGAAAGUGGAAUUCCUAGUGUAGCGGUGAAAUGCGCAGAUAUUAGGAGGAAUACCGAUGGCGAAGGCAGCCAUCUGGCCUAAUACUGACGCUGAGGUACGAAAGCAUGGGGAGCAAACAGG
rnacentral:rRNA from 1 species